UAAAAGGAGGAUUGGGGGUUCCAAACAGUACCAAACCAUCCAAACCCCAAAACCCUUCGAGGAUGGAAAGGGAGCGAACGGCGACAACGUAUGUUAGGGUUCCGGCCUCGGAAAAGAGAAAGAGAAUUGCCAUGCAAAUGCUCUUGAAGCGGCGAUUUCACAUGUGGAUUGCCUAAACCUGAGGGAAACCUGAUGUGAACCCCGCAAGUAACUUGAUUGUAAGUAGGCAAAAGGUGUAUCUUUGAUAGCUAAUGGAUCCAAUUUCUGGAUAGAUUAAUGGUUUUUCCGUAGAAAUUGGGGCAAAAAAACCAAGUCAAAAGUUCUUCAAGGUUUUGUUAUCUUAACUUUACCCUUUAUCCUUUGUGAACUCGACAUUAGCAACUGUCUUUGUUGACGAUAGCGAACACUCAGACACAGGACUUCACGACAUUAGCAAUAUUUUGUGCACAUUUCCAGGUGCCAAACGAGGGGAGUGCUUGAAGAUAUAUAAGGUACUUGAAGGGGAGGGACAUAGUUGUUUGCAACGUUUGUGAAGAACAUGAUAAACAUAUUACUGUUCUUUGUCUAGGAUAUUGGGAAUUUUCACGUAGAUUUUGAGGGCUGUCAAUUUUACUUAUUUGGUUUAACCGUGUUGUGUUUUACUUAGUCUUCAUAUGAAAGCUAUAUUAUUUUAUCUCUCCUAAUUACCCCCAAGCUAGCUUAUGUAUAAAGAAAUUGCUUGGUUCCCAGAUUGUGAUUUAUAUUAUCUUUUAACCAAUGAAACAUCUUUCUGUUAGUAUAA